GUUUGGGGACAACAGCGGGGAAGGGAGAUAAGAUGACAUACCAGAGCAGAUUUGGUGUGCGCGCUGAUACUCCUGGCCCGACAGGAAACUCGGAGCUAUUUAAAAAGGCCCUAUCGAUUACUUUAUCUUCCCCGGAGGAAAACUUCUUGCCGAGAGACAAAAGAUGUCCCCCUACCUAAAGAUACAAGGCCACACAGCAGAGGGUUUGUACAGGCGACGCGCGAGUAGAUCCCUGGGAGCGCAGAGACGCCUUUCUACCGGCAGAGACUGAAGUUUGACUGGAGCGAGGCGGGGCGGAGCCACCUCCCGGUCCCCGUGCACUCCGGAAUUGUGAACGCUCCCGCAAAGUCCCCGCGAGUGUUGUGUUCACACUAAUUGGUGUGCCUCUGAGUUCCAUCCGUACUCCCCCCCCCCCAAGUUUAAAUGCUCCUUUUAAGGGCUUGAGUGUCUGCAGCCGUCAUGUGCACCUUGAAAGCUUGGCGUGUGACAUUGUGUUCCUCUAGCGUCUCCAUCCCGCUUUUCACCAAUUCGUGCCCUGGCCGAAUCCCGUGGGAGCAGAGGUGGCCCCUCGAAGUCCCGGGCCACCCAGGGAGGCUCCGGGUACACCCAGAUUCCCAGCAGUCCGUAGUCUGGGCUUUCCCCGUGUGACACUUUGCCGCCUACCGGUUCACAAUCCUCUCGGCCCGCGUGAGAGAAGGCGGCAUGUUCCGUGGGACACAGUUUAUUUUAUGCACAUUAAGGGCUGUAAAGCACGGUCUGAAAGAAAAAGAUGGUGCGGCGGGGAGGAGCGGGAGAAGGGGCAGCGAUGAUCCUGGGACUGUGCAGCGACCACUUACAACCUGAUUCAUGCCCACCGGAGACCCCAGCGGUCCUGGAGGGAGGCGGAGGCUCCGAGGCUUCCGGUUGGGUUUCAGCCACCAGGUUCGGGCAGUGACUCUUGGACUCUGACCACGUCCCGCGGCACACUCGGAGACCCGGCUCGUCCGCGAAGCUAGGAGCGAAUGGCCCGCAGCUGCGCGUCGCUCAAUCUGAGCUCUCAAGCCCAAAGCGUCUGCAGAGCCGCUUCCCAGAGCUCCAAGCCACCGCUAGCAGAGCUCUGAAGGCACCUUGAAGCCUCGACCCACUUCAAUGUCACCUGAUUUUUCAAAUUAUCACCUUCUGAGACGCGAUCCUUCGGAACCGGCAGAGCCCCCACCUUUGAGCGCCGCCGUUUAUGCUGUAGCGCUGUAGCGGUUUGCAGCAGUCAGGGCAGGUGGAGGACCUUGUUACUGGCACUGCGGAGCCCGGAGCUGAGGGGAAAGAAAACGGAGAUAAGGAAAAGGGCUGCAGAGGUCGGAAAGCAGCUCCCAUCGGAUCCAUCAAAUCAAUCACAGCCCCAAGUGACCAAAGAGAAAUUUUGCGUUUUGGAAAUAUCCCCACCACCAAAAGCACGAGGAAAGUGUGAGCAGCAAGAAACUAACAAUAAAUUUUAGGUGCAAAAAUAUAAAGAAGCACACAGAAUUUGAAAAAAAAAACCCGCACAUUCUGCUAUUUGAGUUUUCCAUAAACAUACAAAUAAAACCUGCGGAAGAUGUACUUCUUCAAGUCUGUGACAGACCCUGGACUGACUAACGGGGACGCGCUCAUUUAAAAUGUCAGCGGUUCCUAUAUUUCACCGAACUUUCAACGAGCUUUUCCACAUGUCCAGACUCAUGGGACAGUAUGCUUAUGACCCUGUUAAUUGUAGUUCAGACUUACUAUGUCUCAAUAAAGUGACUCAGCACUUGACCAGCAUAUGAGGCUCCCCGAGUCCAGUCCCCAG
rnacentral:lncRNA from 1 species